GCCUUCGUGGUGCAGUGGUCAGCACGUUGGGUGCAUAUUUCAGAAGUCCAUGGUUCGAGUCCAGGCUAGGGCA
rnacentral:tRNA from 1 species